rnacentral:lncRNA from 1 species
CUGGUCUGGCUUUACGGCCUUGGUAGAUGUUCUGGUCUGGGUCUUCUGCUCGGCCGGUUUUGGAACAAACUUUACACUGUUUUUACCCAUCAUAUUUUACAGACUUUCUUUUCUAGAGCAACAUAAUCACAAACUGAUACAUGAAAAAUUCUUCCUAGCAAGCAAUCUGAAGCUUCAGCUUCAUAAACUGGUGCCUCAGCUCCCAUGGCAGUAGCAGCACCAGAACCCUUUACAUGUGUAUCUUCUCAUCAUUCUUAGUGUGUCCCA